AGGUGCCGAUGCAUGGAGACCAGUGGGACCCGGACCCCGGCUCCAAGGAUAGCCAGUGGGUGGCGUGGGGGUGGGUUCCACGGGAGCAGCGCCCCCUGCUGCCCAGAGCCACCCACAUUCAGGGGAGCCUGCCGGCACUGCCAGGGCAGGGUGCAGGCUGUGGACGGCGUCCAGGGCGAGAGGGACAAGCGGGCAGGGUCACCGGGUCCCCUCCGGAGGUGGCUGGGGUGCUACCCCCUCCGGACAGGCAAGGGCCACAAGGCUGUUCACUGGCUGGCACAGCAGGUGUGAGGCAGGAGGGGCUCCACCUGCUGGGGCUCAGGAAGUUUUGGGGAGCAGGGGCCUGGUGGUGGCCGCAGCUGCCUGGAGCCCCUGUGGCCGGCCCUGGAUCUCCGUCUGAGCCAGAGCAUGCUCCUGUUCCCACGGCCCUCCUGGCACAGUCAGGGCUCUUGGCCACGCGUUUGCUGAGUGACCCUGUGACCUGGCAGUUUGGUCACAGCGCCCAACCUGGCCGAGGAGCCCGGCGCGCGGGGUGCUGCUGCCCCCUGGUGGCCGCGGCCGGGAGGGCGCUCCGGCUCGGGCGGCCCAGCGGUGGGGCCGCUUCCCAGAGCCGCCGGUCCCUGCUGCCCUGGAGCCGUAAGGAGGCCGAGGGUCCGGGCAGCCCCGCGGCGUCCAGGCGGGGCUGGGCCUGCAGCCAGGGCUCGGAGGCCCUUCCAUGGUUGCCCAAAUAUAAAGCUCAGAUGCACAGCAAGUAUACGGCCCUGCAGCAUCUUCUAUUUUUAUCUGCCGAGCCUGGCACCUCCGCCUGUCAAGCCAGGGAGCUGAGUGCGCACAGUCCCCGCACAGUCCCUGCACAGUCCCCGGGCAGGUCAGAGCUGCAGGCGCCAGGCCGCCCCCGGGGCACGUCGGUCACGACCCUUCCCAUUGAGAGUCAGCAGUGAGGAUGGAAAAAAAGCCUCCACUUCCAGAAAUGGAGGCAGCAAGGAUUUCUCAGAUGUUUUCACUCGGCACUAAAUCCUGAGCUUCUCCGACCCUCCC
rnacentral:lncRNA from 12 species